GGACGCGUAGCUCAGUUGGUUAGAGUACUACGUUGACAUCGUAGGGGUCACUGGUUCGAGUCCAGUCGCGUCCA
rnacentral:tRNA from 1 species